CAAAGACCAGCCCAGCUCUUGCCUGGCAGGACACCUCUGGGGACAGUAUCCAUUGUUUCAUUUGACCCCACAACAACCUUGGGGCUUUGCCAAGCACACGGAUUGUCAUCAUUAUUAUGCUGCCAUCCAGAAGAGAAAAGGAAGGCUCUCAGGUCACACAACCUGGGACGCCCCCUGCACUGCUGAGUCUGAUUAGGACCCCGGGGAGAGGCAUAACCUGAGCUUCGAGGGGCAAAUCCCCACCCAAUCCCUGGGAUGAGGUCUGCUUCUCACCAGCCUCUCUGGGCCUUGAGGAAACUGAGGCUUGAAGGACUCCAAUACGCGCCGAAAGGAUUAACAUGGAUGAGUGAAGUAGGGAGAGUAGGGUAUCAAGAGAGACGUCCUGGAAGAGGCAGCACCUGGAGAGGCCCCUCAGAGGCACCUGGGCCGUUUAUGGAGCCUGCAAUUCUGUUGUCACCGGGAGAAAAACCAGCCUCGCUCUACAGACCCCUCCACCAACCGGUGGAGAAACAAGUGUUGGAGAUAAGACGAUUUAAAACAAAUAAACUUCCCUACGGACU